rnacentral:rRNA from 1 species
AUGAACGCUGGCGGCGUGCUUAACACAUGCAAGUCGAACGGUUUGCGCAAGUAAACAGUGGCGCACGGGUGAGUAACACGUAGCUAACCUGCCCUCGAGCGCGGGAUAACGUUCCGAAAGGAAUGCUAAUACCGCAUAAGCUCCCGAUCUGUAGAGGGUUGGGAGAAAAGGCGAAAGUCACUUGAGGAGGGGGCUGCGACCCAUCAGCUAGUUGGUGAGGUAAGGGCUUACCAAGGCGACGACGGGUAGGGGGCCUGAGAGGGUGGCCCCCCACACUGGGACUGAGACACGGCCCAGACUCCUACGGGAGGCAGCAGUGAGGAAUAUUGCACAAUGGGGGCAACCCUGAUGCAGCGACGCCGCGUGGGUGAUGAAGGUUUUCGGAUCGUAAAGCCCUUUUCUGCAUGACGAGCCAAGGACGGUAGUGCAGGAAUAAGUGUCGGCUAACUACGU